ensembl:lncRNA
AGAAAACUCAGAAGCUGUCGAAAGGUCCAUUGAAGUGAAAGGAAAACACAUCCCUGCUUCUGAAGACCCUGAAAUAAUUUGGAAAAAAAAAAAAGUGAUCAGUGGUUUUGACUCUAAAGCUUAUUCUAAGGCGUUUUAAAGAUAAAUGGUAAACCCGAACUGGAAAUCCAUCUGGCCGGCUGCCUGCUCUAAUGAAUAACCCCACUUUGGCGCGUGCAAUGUAAGCAGAAAGUUCUCUCCCGGCCUCUUUCGUCUGUCAUGAAUCUACGAGACAGCCGACAUAAUAUCUGGGCGACAACGGGUGCGCUAACAGUGCAUCUGACAAGAAUCAGGACUGUUCCAGGGCUUUUGGAGCCCUCUUGUCUCUCCGGAUGGUGACAUUCUAUCUUGACAACUCAGAUCCAGCCACCAGAACCUGAAGCCCAGAGCAGAUCCUUGAAGGAAUAAGCCAGCCUACCAUAAGCUUGACCCAACCAUCAUCAUCACUACCAUCUUCACUUGGGAGAGUUAAUCCUCCCCUGCAUCAGGAAGAGAGAGAAAAAAGCACAAACAGAGAGAGGGAAAAGAAACUGAAGAAAAGAUGAAGGAAGAAGGCAAGAAAGAGGACACGGAUUCUUUUUCUCAGAAACAGAUGAAUUUUCUCUAGGCAGGCAAACUAUUUUUUUUAGAGCAAACUCCAUGGUGGUCUUGGGGGUGAUAGGAAGGACUCAUUGUGGAUUUUGUCAAAGUGGUUACUGGCUUUUUAAUGUUGAGUAACCUUCAGAGGUGGUACAUCUGCUGGAGCAUCUCUUCAUUUGGGAACAUCACACAGUGACAGAAAGCACCCGGGUUUGAAUCCCAGCCACUCACUAUAACAGAUCUGUGACUUGGGACAAGUCCUUGAAUUUCUCUGAGCCUCAAUCUCAACAAGAGUCAAAGGAGAUAAUGAUGCUAACUGGGAACAUUGGAUCAUGACAAGUCAAAUUAUGUAUCACCAGGCAAUCACACGCCGAGAGCUCCUUUCUCACUUUCUUCCACACUUUUACUUUUCACAGGUGGCAGGAAGCUUCAUUUUCUUCAGGACAUGACUUCAUUUUUAAAAUUAGAGUGCAAUAUUUUGACAAAGUUCAAUGAUUUGACAAAGUAUCCCUAGGUACUGAGGACUGAAAGGCAUUGCCCAGUCCCUUAUAGGGAAUCACAGUUCAGUGAAAAAGACAGGAACGGUAACGGAGUAAUGUGCAAAAAUGUCAAAAAGAGAGAACUGGGUACGAUGCUGUGUGUGUUCCCAAAUAAGGGAGGGAAAAAUCUAUUUGAAGAGGGUGCAGCAGAGGAAUAACCUUUGAGAUGGGUUUUAUGAGUACAUGCUUGCCAGGCAAAGACAGGAAAGGAGAGUUCCUGGCAUGAGUUAGCGCUUGGUCCAUUGGUGGUGGGGUGAAGGUUAAUAUUUGGCGUAAGAGUCCCUAAUAGAAGCUAAAAGUGAUUCAAAUGCCACUUCUGCUGCAGACCGUUGCCUGGUCCCCUAUACAGGAAACCCUCUCAAUAGGCUCAGCACUCUAACUGCUCUCCAUUUGUGGAUUUCUUUGACAAUUACUACUUCCUGCUUUGCAUCAGAGAUAUUUGUGUACCUAUUUUACUUUCAUUACACAGCAGAGAAACUAGAGACUGUUUUAUCCUGGUAUUCCCCACAGUGCAUUCAACUUAAAAUUAUAUGUAUACAUAUAUAUGAAAGCCAAUGUAUUUCACUUUCACUCUGUCUAUCAUAGAGGAGUUCUUGGUCAUUUUAUUUAUGGACUUUACACGGGUGAAAAGAAGCUCGGCUUUUUGUUACACAGCUUGUUGCAUAUUAAGCAUUGAUGAGUGUGCUACACCUUCCUCAUCA